AAAAUUUAAUAUUCUCAAGCUAACAUAUCUAAGGAUUAAGGUCUAUGAUAUCUAGCCAGGCAAAUUAUAUUGCCUCGGGUUAAUAUGGAAACAUGCUAGCCUUCCAUUGUUUGAAAAGAGAAUUUAUUUUUAGUUAA
rnacentral:ncRNA from 2 species